UGGACAUUUCCAUUUGGAAGCAUCCCUCGUUUCUUUGUCUCUGCGAAGGUCUAGGAAUGGAACGAGGACUUCUGACUCUAGUUCAGUGCACUCCAAAGUUCUGGAUAUGGGGUGAUCCAGCGUUGUAAUUUACAAUACUGGAACGGUCACCGGGAAAAGGCCAAGGGGAAAACACCCCGGAAGUCACAACAGGAAGAUGGCGCUUGGAAUCAUUUGAAGUGCAUGAAGAUCUCACCUAAAAGGGCGAUGCUAAGGCACUGACCCCAGGCAGUUACGCUUCCUUUUGCUGCCCCAUCAACUCCACCUGGACACGCGGUCCGUGCAGCAGUUCAGCAACCCACUCUGAGGUAAGCACGUACCUAAGUCAUCAGAUGACAUCAUAAGCACAGUUGUGCAGGGGGUCGUUCUUGAACGAAAGGAGAUUUAGAGAUGAAAAACAUUUAUAAAAGUUAGUCUCGGCAAUAAAAAUCUGCUGGGAUUAUUAUUUUUUAAAAAGCCUCACUGCACAAAUGUCAAGGUUGCCCAUUAUGCUGAGCUUUGGUUGGCAGCGGCCUGUAGGCCCAGCAACCACCUGGUUCCUCCAUGGCGCCCAGACCUCCGUGGCCAAAAGUAGCUGGUUGGCUGCCCUGGAAGGCAAGAGGGACCAAGCCGUCUGAGACUUGAAAAGAUGUGCGUGGUCAGGCUGCCCCAAAUCUCCAAGUGGGGCCCGUGAGUUAGCUGCUUACUCAAGAUAGGACACAAGGAGUGUGAGAACACAAAAGGUACCAGGGGCCGUGGCCCAGACUAGUGGAAGGAGGGUGGAGAUGGGGGCAUUUCUGAACAAGUCACAACAGGGAGGCAGUGACAAGAGGAGGAAAAGCCAGGAAUGAAGAGGAGGGGAUAUAAAGACGAAAGAGCAGGAACGGAUAGCAGUUACAUGAAGCAUUGAGAUUGGGGCCAACGCCGGAACUCUGGCACUGGGAUUCAAUUAUCACUGCCAUUUAAACUGGUGGUGAGAGGUGCCUGGGUGGCCCAGUCAGUUAAGCGUCCGACUUCGGCUCAGGUCAUGAUCUCACGGCUUGGGAGUUCGAGCCCCGUGUCGGGCUCUGUGCUGACAGCUCAGGCUGGAGCUGCUUUGGAUUCUGUGUUUCCUUCUCUCUCUGUCCCUCUCCUGCUCGUGCUCUGUCUUUGUCUCUCAAAAAUAAACAUUAAAUAAAUACACUGGCGGUGAGUAUACGCGUGCACAUCCUUCAGAGGGCUUGCAAGUGUUCACCUGUAAUUCUCUGUGGCCCUCUAGCAUACCUGGCAACUAUUUCUUAAGCACCCUUUCUUGAGAAACUGGAAGGUGAGAGGCCCUGCCCUCCAGGGGCUGCUGACCUGGAGGGAGUGCGGCUACAAGAGGGAAAGGUCCUGCUGACAGCAUACAACCAGCCCAAAGAGGAACACGGAGAAGCUUCCCAAAGGCUCUAAUGCUUGAACUGCAAUGUGGAGUUAGUUAAGUAGAAAGGAGGUGCCACCCAUGAUAGGUACUCAGUCGCUGUUUGUUAAUUAAUUUCAGUUUGUUCCGAUUUGUAAUGAUUACCUGGAAAAUCGUUCAAGGGCUAGGAGUUUGUUCUUAUCCCCACUGUUUUUAUUAUGUCAAUGAAAAAGAUAAACCUGUCCAUUUUCGAGUCUAGGGAUAUAAUCCAAAAAAAAAAAAAUACUAGACCUUACCUUUGGCUGAGAUGGGGAGUGCACUUAUAGUUUUUCUAAUUAGGAGACAUCUUCUUGGUCUACUUGUGUCAUAGCAAAAAGUUUUAAAAGCUUUUGAAAAGAUCACGUUUUGCUCACUUGAAAUAUGUGUGUAUAUUUUAGCAUAAACUACACUUGGCAGCUGCUAACAUAAUUGGAUGGCUACGCCUUGCAAAAGCUUGAUUUCUUUUUAAUCAAAUUUUUAGAAUCAUACUGGGUUUUUUGCCAGUGCUGCGACAGUGAGCAAUAAAUACAUCAUUAGAUCAAUGGUGUUCUGAUGAUGGAUUACUCCAAAGAUACUUCCAGCCAAGAAGACUAAGCCCAUAGUCUCAUUGUGCAAAGAUGAAUAAAAUAUUGUUUAAAACACAGAUACGCAGUUAACAUAACAAGGAAGAAAACAUUGCAAAAUAGAACACAACAGCCAUGGGUUUAUAAUGUAGCAAUAUUGAUCACGGAUUUUCCUAAGUACUCUAGAGCAGCCAUGCUAUUAUAUAUGCCUCUGAUUAGACCCAGAGAUGAGAAGGAAAAAGUUAUAAAAAAGGAAACUAACAGAGGAAGGCCUGCUGCUAUAAUAAAUUAUUUAAAGCAAGCAGGGCGAGCGGGUUGUGAAGACAAUAUAAAACAGAAUCAAUGCCCCCAAGAAACCCCAAACCAUCAGCACCUCUAUAAAUUUCUCACCACUCUGUCUGGCAUGUUCCUGGGGCUUCUUCUUUCCCAGCACCCUCCCCAUCCCAUCCCACCCCUACCCUUCACAUUUUGUCUGUUCGUUUCUGAGAACUUAACAUUUGUUUUUCUUCUGUAACCUAGGAUGUUGUCUUCAGUUAUAUUUCUCAUCUUCUAUUAGAAGAGUGUCUGCAAGGCCACAGAUGAACGCAUCUGUCACUUCAAUUAUCUCCAUCUUAAAUUUCCCGUGGAAACAAUAAGCUGGUAAUAUCUAACAUGAUACUUACAACAUGACUUUGACAUUACUCUUCUCCUCCUUUUUUCUUACCAUUGUUGUAGUUAAAUCCACAAAGUGAAAGCUAGAGUAAAACUUACAUAGCUCCAUCAGUAUUCUGUAUGAGGACGUGUCUAGGACCAAAAAUCUAAAGUAAAGGUAAGAACUUGGUAAGGGUAUGUUGGGGGAAAAAGAGUCAAAAUGGCUACAAUUCAAGUAUUAGGAGAUGUUAAAAGGGCAGAUUGACUUGAAAAGUAAAUACUUUAUAGGUAGAUUUUGCCAUGGGAAUAGGGGUGGGGAAAGAAGGGUGAAAAAACGAGAAAAGAAGUCGCCAAAUUCCUUUUGCCAAAAGUAUGCCAUGGCCAAAAAAAAAAAAAAGAA